CUGAUUACUGAGAAUCACAUUGGUUAAAAGGUUUCCUUAGAAUGACUCCAAUCACAGUAUAAACCCAAUCAAUUCAACAUUGUACAAAAAAGUUUUAACCCUCAAACUGUAAACAAGCAAAGGCAGAAAUGUCCUUUUAAGGUCUGAAACUGAAAUACAAGAAUAGGUUAAUACACAUAAUGAACACAAGCACAAACCAAAUAAAAAAAAUAAACAAAACAUCAUCAAAAUUUCAACACAGUUUGAUUUUUCUAAGAAUCUCCAACUCACCUCAGAUAAAGUCUUCACUUGAUUUCCUAUUAUUGAGGGUGCAGAGGUAUCAUAAUUUUCCACAAAUCAUUUUUGGCAUCACUUCACUUAGUUGAAGUAAUUUUGUAUUCCCUGUUAAUGAAAUCCUUGAGGCAGCAGAAACAAGUCGGUUUCCAUUUUGUCUUUCAAAAUGUCGCUGUCUGUGCUCACAGCUUCCACUGUUUUAAAGUACAAAAUAACACAAUUUGAAAGACCAGUAAAUGUCCUGCUGAUGCACUGACUUGUCCAGCUGCUCCAAGAAGAAUCCACAAUUAUGAUGCAUGCCUUGAUACUUCACACACCCACACAGUCAAAUAUAUCUUCUGUCUCUUUCACUCGUCUCUCUCACUCUCUGCCUCACUCUCUCGCUCCCUCUGUCGUCUUUCUAUCCAUUCUGUCUGCAUGUCUGCGCCGCUCUCUCUCCCUGCUUCACGCUGAAUCUGUGGAGGUGUCAGAGAUGCAAUCCCAGCUUACUUUCGUUCACCCACACACUGGGAGUAUGUUGAGUAUGAUUUGCAGAUGCACCUGUAUAACUAGGAAGAAGAUAGGAAAUAAGUGCAGUACACAAACAUCUCACAGUCAGCCCAGGAUUAGUCACUAAUUUGCACAUUCAAGCUCCCACGUCUUCCUCUUACCACUUGUAAAAGUCUUCUGCACACCCAUAGUUGUGGGAGGUAUAGAUUCAUCUUUCAUCAAUAAAUUAUACCAAAGCUAUUUUUUCAGGUGGCAAGAUGUCUAUUGAUGGUUUGCAUGUGUCAACAUGAUAUAAAAUGAUGGGUGUCAUGUGGUCAGUCU
ensembl:lncRNA